CCAUUCUACUGAGGUGGGGUCCGGCCGAACCAUUUUUUGGGGGGCGCCGCUACAUUUAACUGCUCUGACGCCCAGUGAAACCUCCUCCUUCAGCACAGAUCGCUGCCCAGCUCUGGGCAGCCGGUGGCAGGACAAUGCCACGGUGAAAGGACAGCGCACUGGCACGAAACUCGCCUAACCCCCCCCUACAAUCUUUCACUAUGGCUUCGCCCGAUGGCAGUCGGCGCGCACGCGGGUGCUACCAAGCUGGUGUAGAGGGGGAGGCUCGCGAUGCUUCGCCGACAUCGACGCGGUUGUGCCGGGGCGCGGCGAGGGCGGCGGCAUCUUUGUUGUUCUGAGAAGCUCUUGCGGGCAGUGUUUGGGAAGCUGAGGCAAGCAGGCCAGCUGUGUAAUGUUCCAGGGAGUCACACGAUGGCAUCCGAACUCCACUGCAGCUCCCCGGCUGAGUGUGUCCCUUCCCAGGGAAGGCAGCUCCCAUGAAAGGAAACGAUGACUGGCACUUUGGGCAGCAAUUUUUUCCCCUCAUUACAUCGUGGUCGCUGACCAGCCCCUGACUUCCCGGUCAGCACCAGCACUGACUCUGAAGUAAACACAAGGUGCUGUUUCCUGCCAUCACAACCAUGUGUUUUCCCAAAUGUGAGGCAGGACAUGGCUGCUGGUCCACCCAUGGUCCCAGCUGGGUCCAGUAUUCCAUGGCUCUUCCAGGCAUGUGUAUGAGGUCUCUGUUGCUUUUGUUUCACCACUCCCACCGUUGUCUCUGUUGCUGGAAUGUGCAAUUUCUGCAGUUGCCCUUUUUCCUGUUUGCACUUUUCCAGUCCUUUGGUUAAGCUGUGGAUCUAAACAUUGGAUUCUCCUUUCCCUGACAUUGCAUGGGCUGCUCUUUGCACUUUCCUCUACUUUUCAGCAACUUUUGAUUUAUCUGCUCUUCCUUCCUUCUCCUUUUCCUUUCUCUGUUGAAAUUUCCCCUCAGUCCCUGGCCUGUCUCACUGCUAUUCUUUUUUCUUCCAGCCCUUACUCAGCAAUCUGAGGGAGAGUGGAACAACUUUUAAAAACGCAGAUUUUGGCACUGGCAGCUGAAGCCUGUUCCUUUAAGUACUCCACAUGCAAAACUCCUAAUCAAUGGGAAAUGUGGGGGAAAAAAAUCUUGCAGGAAAGGCUUUUUAUAACACAGCUCUCCAACCAGCAGUGCCUCAUGAAUUUUAUUGCGCGCAGGUGAUCUGAGAAUAGUGGAGCUGACAGCUCUGUUUCCUAAACUGAAUUCUGAAAGAGUAAGCAAAUUCUUGUAUGAAAUUUCAUCUAAU
rnacentral:lncRNA from 1 species